GUACAUGAAACAUGAUGAGUGUGAAUGCAAUACUUUAUCUUCAAAGGAGACUUCCGAUGUUAAUAUUAGAAAUUCUAUCUUAAAAGUUGUAGCUUCUAAUUUUGGAAAGAAAGGGUAGAAGAAAGUUAUGAGGUACAAGGCUCAAGAAUGGUACAUUUCUAAGAAUGCUGAGCUCCAUUUAAAUAUGAUGUCAAAAGUAGUAGUAGACGAUCCAAGUCUAACUGAAGAUGCUUCCAGCUGCACCUUUCGCAGUAAAAAUUUUUUCUAUGUUAGGGCCUUGACAAAUUUUCCAGAAAGAUAUGGAUAUAUGAAUGAAGUUUAAAGCAGUAAACCAACCUCUGCCAUUAUAAUCCAUGGGAUUCCUUCCCUGCCUAAUUGGUAUUGACCCCAUAUGCAGCUGAAAGAGGAAUCAAAUAGUUGAACUUUAUAUAUUAAUAAGCCAAAUACAAGUCACUAGUUAAAAAAUUAAAGAUAAAUGUCCAACAUAUCAAGCAGAGAGGAAAAAACAAAGCAUCAGAAAUUCUGAGUCUUGAGUUUGCCAUUUGGCGUACAUUGAUCAAUGAUUUUGGACUUCAUAUUAAAGGAGAUGAUAUGUGAUAAAACCCUUUUUUGGAACAUAAGUGAUUGGUGAUAAUUUGAAGACUACUUCUUUUACUGAUCCAGUGCUUAAGUUGGUAGUUUUGGUUCUUGUUUCACUAUAUAAUCCCUGGCAUGCAUGCAUGGCUUACCUAUUGUGUUGAAGUACAGAUACAUACUAAUUAAACAAAUGGAUGCAUACAAACUUGUUAGCUCUACAAAGUUACAUGGUUUGAAUUCAUCUCCUCAAACGCAAUGUAAUUAGAACAACAAACCACCCGAUAUGCUAAUGAGUGCCUAAGCAUGAGCCUCCUCGUUCCACCAGUGACAGUCACGCAUGCUUGUUGUAACAGAAGUUUUAGCAAAUGGUUAUAUGCAAAAGAACUGCCAAGCAAAAGCAAAUGUAGCUCAGAACUCUACAGCGUUUUGCACACAUGUAAACUUAAAAACAGCAUAGCGCCCUAGCAGCAACCAAUGUACCAUUUCGUAAUUUUAGUUUCAUUUAAUAUACCUUAGCCAUUAUAGGACCAUAAUUUACCUGCUGAGAUAAAAGUAAUACCUGAGUAACACCAAAGCCAUAAUAAUCCAAAUUUAACAAUAAAAAUGGAAAAUUAACUACUAGUUUCAAACCUGAACUCGAACCCAACCUAAACUCAAAACGACCGAGUCCGAAGCGAUAUGAAUUCAAAACAACCCAACCUGUUCUUAUCCAAACCAAAAAUGACCUGAUCUGAAUCUGAUGUUUCCCACCUUUAACAAUAAUGCAUAAUUAUCUGGAAAUAAUAGUUUCAUUACAUUUUAGAAUGUUACAGGCUCAAUGUCUAACAACAGAACCUAAGCCAAUCCAAAGAGGAGUACUUUGCCUCCUCAAUCGUUAUACGUGGAUACUCACUGAAACAUCCAAGAGAAUCUUAAAUCGUACGCACCAGCCAUCUGAGAGACUUUAGAAUGAAGAAUAGAACUAGGAGUUGAAGUACAUUUGGAAAAGUUUCUGUAGAUAAAAUCAUUCCAAAAUUGCGCAGACUUCAAAUUGCAUGACAAGUAUGAUUUCCUAUUGGAAGAAGCAGAUGUUACUUAUAGAGGCAAGGGCACCAACUGAUUAAAGGAACCACUAAGAUACAUCAUGGAAAUGCCUAUAACACCAUCAUCUGUAGAAUCAACUGUGGUAAGAGCAUGAUGCAGCCAGGCUAUGUACCAUUCUUUGGUGUUAUCUAUGCAAUAUAAGACAUUCAUCAUAUGAUUAACCGUAUCCAAUUUCUUUCAACAAACAAACAAUCAGCUAUCACCUUGCUAAAUCCCUAUAAUAGCCUUUCAACAUCCAGCAAUCACAGACCUUUCAACACCUAAAAAUAUGAUAUCAUGAAUUGAAAGUAGGCAAGGACAAUAAUCACUUAGGUAUAAGAAGCAGAAGCAAUGAUCUGGUCAGAACUCCAAACAUAAUUCUUAUGUGCUAUCUUUGCUAGGGAUAGUAAGUUAUCUAAUUCUAGAUGUUUUUAAAUAUCUUUUCAACUUUAGUUGCCACAUGGCUCAAGAACAAUAAAUAUGGAUUAAAGAAGCUCAGCUGAGGUCAUUAAUACAUGAAGUCUGAGUGAACACCAUUGACUACUAAGUUUCUCUUGAGACAUAAGACAAUACCUCAUUAUUUUCAAGUUUUAAGCAGAAAUCAAGUUUGGGGCCUUCUUGGCAAAAAAAAAUGGACCAUGAGACAUUAAAGGAAUAGCGGAUGAUGAAAACCAAAGGAGCCGAAACUUUCACAAAUACUAUUUCAAGCCAUUCAACAACAUAGAACAACUUUAAAACCCAGAGUCUUCAAGAGAUUGAGUGGUUAGAAAAGGUUUUACAGUUAGCACUCAAUAGUCUUGUAGAAGGUUACAUAUUUCCAACCAAGGAGAUCUGUUCUCUUCCAACUUACUAAUGUGGCUAUAAUUAAUCCAAUACUUUGAAGUAAAAAGUGAGAACUCCACAGCAAAAAGAGCAACUAAAAUUCAGAAUAGUUUUGUCUCUUGCUCCUGCGUCAAUUUAAUAUCUGCAACGAAAAGUAAAAUAACAGAGACCAUGUUGAAAUAGGAUACCAACAAACAGAUACUCCUAUUUGUUCAAGUAGAGGUUCCUAAAAUGCAAUUAACAUUCUUUAAGUUUGAUGCAUAACAUUCCAUGUUUAGUUGUCCCAUUGGUUGGAUACAUCACCAUAAUCACUCUCUGAAAAGUUGAACCAUGACAGAUGCUUAUAUAAGAACUUUACAAGAUUCACAAAAAGAAUAUAGCAAGAACAUGAUGGAGUAAAUAUAAAAUUCAUAGAAGUAGAUAAGUGACAAUACAAAAAAUAGACAAGUUGUAUGGAACAAAUGCAAUUCAGCAGCUUAGGGUGUAAAUUUGCUGUUAAAACACGCACAUUUUCACUUUGUUGCCAAAAUCUGCCUACCUGUGUCGGUGCACUACAAGCCAAUUGGAAAACAGCUUUUCAAGGAUCAUAAAGCUCCC
rnacentral:lncRNA from 1 species